AGGAAUAGAAUAGUCAAUGUCAUGACUAUUGCUAUGGUUGUCAAAUUCAAGGUUACCAGUUCUAGCAAUUUGAAGGAAGGCUCAGUUACAAAAAAAAUGUUUGAAUAGAUAUCCCUGGAGUACCUGGUGUUGCCUAUAUCCUUAAAGCUACAUGCAAGGGACCCCAAAUUUGUGAAGAACAAUGUUGUGGGCUGUAGAGUGAUCAGGGUUUUGACACAACUGGAUAUUCCCAGUUUCUGAUAGACAUAGAGGAAAGAAUCCUCCAGGCAACUAAUGCCCCCUAUACCAUCAUCAACAGUAAUGGAGGUCAAGGUCAAGGAAAUGCUCCGAUGUCAAUCGUGUCAAUUUUGGACGGACAGCUCACUAAAUAUUGUAGAGUGACCAGAUAAAUGGACAGUCUUAAAUCGAACCAAUAAAAGGUAAAAAUCAAUUUAUUCAUAACUAUUUAGACAUGUUAAUCACAUUUUAAGUUAAAAGUUGAGCAUACAGGGACAGAUGAGUUUAGAGUACAUGGAGAGUUGAGCGUACGGGGUGAGUUGAGUGUACAGGGAGAGUAGAGUUUUGUUUAGCGUACUGGAAGAUUUGAGUUGAAGUGAGGUUACAGGGAGAGUUGAGUUACGUAUAUGGGGAGAUUUGAGUUGAGUGUGCGGUGAGUUGAGUUGA